rnacentral:rRNA from 1 species
ACGGAGGGUGCAAGCGUUGUUCGGAAUUAUUGGGCGUAAAGGGCGCGUAGGCGGUAAUGUAAGUCAGAUGUGAAAUACUCCGGCUCAACCAGAGAACAGCAUCUGAAACUGCAUAACUAGAGUACAGAAGAGGGAAACGGAAUUCCCGGUGUAGAGGUAAAAUUCGUAGAAAUCGGGAGGAACCCCAGUGGCGAAGGCGUUUUCCGGGUCUGAUACGGACGCGGAGGGGCGAAAGCGUGGGAGCAAACAG